rnacentral:tRNA from 1 species
GCCCGGGUGGCGAAACUGGUAGACGCAAGCGACUUAAAAUCGCUCACCCGAAAGGGAGUGUGGGUUCGAGUCCCACCCCGGGCACCA